rnacentral:rRNA from 1 species
GAUCAUGGCUCAGGAUGAACGCUAGCUACAGGCUUAACACAUGCAAGUCGAGGGGAAACGACAUCGAAAGCUUGCUUUUGAUGGGUGUCGACCGGCGCACGGGUGAGUAACGCGUAUCCAACCUGCCCACCACUUGGGGAUAACCUUGCGAAAGUAAGACUAAUACCCAAUGAUAUCCCACGAAGGCAUCCGAAUGGGAUUAAAGAUUUAUCGGUGAUGGAUGGGGAUGCGUCUGAUUAGCUUGUUGGCGGGUAACGGCCCACCAAGGCUACGAUCAGUAGGGGUUCUGAGAGGAAGGUCCCCCACAUUGGAACUGAGACACGGUCCAAACUCCUACGGGAGGCAGCAGUGAGGAAUAUUGGUCAAUGGGCGAGAGCCUGAACCAGCCAAGUAGCGUGCAGGAUGACGGCCCUAUGGGUUGUAAACUGCUUUAUAAGGGAAUAAAGUGAGUCUCGUGAGACUUUUGCAUGUACCUUAUGAAUAAGGACCGGCUAAUUCCGUG